CCUUCUGUCUUUAAAAUGACAAUAUUCAAACGUUCAUGGAUUAUGAAAUGAGAGAUACAAAGAGAGAAAAGGCUAAAUAAACUAUCUGUCCAGCCAGUUUCUUGAUGUGGCCUUUCCCUGCAGAGAUAGAACAGUUCAAGUUGAACAUAAGUCAAAAUAAGUGAAAAUAAUAUAAUUGCUAAACACCGGCAAACCCACUGCCAAUCCUAUGUAAAACCUACUGGUUUCGUUCUGACGUGUCUGAUAAUUCUAGCAAAGGUCAAGAACCUAAGAUCAUUAAAAGUGACUCUGUUGACCUUGAGCUUGGCUUACCUCAGACUGGUAGAUCUAUACGCCCUCUAGUUUGAAUGCCUAAAAGUGGGUGGGGCUGAGCAUGCAGCUAUUAUUGUUUCAAGAUAAGGAGAAUGUUUUUGGUCCACAACAUUAUAUGGAUCAUUCUGAGUGUCAGCUUUCUAGGUACUGACGUGGUUCAAGGGAGUAGAAUUGCUAAGCUAAUUUCGAAGGACUUAAAUUACCACAACUUCAACAGUGCAAUAAAAUUUUCUUGGAAAUUAAUCUGUGAUCCUAAUGGAUCAUAUUAUUACAAUUUGAGUGUCAUUGCUUGCCAAGGUAGUUCAUUUCAAGAAGUAAGAGGACCAGAAACUAUAAACCAAAGAUAUUUUCAGUAUGAUUCGAUCUUGUUUGAAGCUAACAGUUCAUUGUUUACCCGUAUUGAGACACUGGAUGCUGGUGAUAAGCUGAGCCUCGAAUUUCGUUUUAGAAAUGUAACACAGGAUUAUCAUAUUGAUGCGAGUAAGGAAGUUUGUUUGAAUACAACAAGAACAUCGUCACAAAUGUUAAUGGCACGAUGGGCGAUUACACCAGGAUCGAGUGAAGAUUGUACGUGUCCACUUAUUCGCAAUUUUGUUAGUUGUAGCUGUAUCCGCAACAACGAAACAAUUUUCAAUGUAGACUACAGUGAAGAUAAUCGGAUGAUAUGUUGGAGAAAUCUUACUAAGGAAAUGAAUAGGACACAGUUUUUUCUUUUCUUUGAGGAAGUAGACGUAUGUUCGACCAUCAGACAAAUUUAUUGGAGUGGUGCAAGGGUAUUUAUAAGUUCUGCUAUUAAAGCUGAAUUUUUCAUUGUGACAUUCCUCAACUGUUGGUUACUUGCGAAUCUUUUAGUUUAGCUAUAGACUGCAUUGGCAGUGACCGAUUAAACCAAUAUUUAUAGAUGAUGUUUUCAUGUAUAUAAAUCUAUAAACAGAGAUUUUCCAAUAUUCAA